rnacentral:lncRNA from 10 species
AUGGAACUGAGCCUGGCAGACACUGCAAAUGAGGCCCCUGCCAGCCAGGGGAAGCAUUGAUAGGCACACUGAGGGUAUGCUGAAGAAGGCAGUGAGGUCCAGCUCCAGGAAGCUGCAGCAACAUUAGGCCACUGCAGCGGACCUCAUUUUCAGAAGGAUUUUAAGCCAAAGCCCAAGGUAAAGGGGAGCAAGGACUUUUAUGCAGCUUGUUUUUGUGCAGGUAUUAAGGACUCUCAGGAAGCCUGGUCCUUCAGGGGUUUAUUUUGUUUGUUUAUUUGUUUUGUUUUGUUUUUUCUAUACACAGGGGAGAGGAUUCAAAUGCAGUAAUCAGUUUCUUGCUCUUUUUUUUUUCUUCUUAAAUAGAGACAGAGUCUCGCUCUAUUGCCCAGGCUGGUUUCAAAUUCCUGGGCUCAAACAAUCCUCAUGCCUCAGCCUCCGAAACUGCUGGGAUUACAGGCAUGAGCCCCGAUGCUUGGCCAAUUUUCUUGUUCUGUAAAGCUGCACUGCUUAAGCACAAGGCCAAAAUGAGGUCUCUCACCACUUCUGCCUGAACUAAACUUACCCAGUGAAUGCUGGGCUGGGCAGUCCAGUCUUCCCCACAUGUGGUAAUGUUCUGCUCUCAGUCAUGUUCUAACCACAAGGCAGCAAACACUGGCGCAGCUGAGCCCGAGGCUGGGGCUGCAGUCUGAACUUUUACAUUACUCAGUUAAUUACAAAGCCAGUCAAAUCACCCCAAAGAUCCACACACCCAAGAGUGCUGGAUAAGAAAAAAAUCCUGCAUAUCAAACCCCUUCUGGGGGAGAGACCAGGGAGAGCGUGGAAGAGAAGAGGUCUGGGGUAUGCAGUGGCUGGUGGCCUAGAGCAAUUCUAACCCAGGAGGCCUCAACAGGGAGCCUGCACCUGAAUGUUGGAAGAAGCAGGGUUUCCGUCAGUCUGUGUUGGCUUUAAAGGAACCAUCCUUCAUGCCCAAAGGAGGCAAGUGUUUGGCAGCUUUUCCAGAUGGCAUGUCUUGCAGUCGUUGAAAAUUUUUUAAAGUGUAAUUCUUGAUAGUGUAUCUCCAAGACAGAGAGACAAGCCCCUAGUCACCCUUCUGAACACCAUAAAGUUUAUUAUAAAGGACUUACAAAGGACAAAGACGAAGAGACACAUAGGGCAAGGUACCAGGGAAGGGGCACAGAGCUUCCAUGCCCUCCCUGGGCGCAUCACUCUACAGGAACCUCCCUGUGUUCAGCUAUCCAGAAGCUCUCCAAACUCCAUCCUCUUGGGCUUUAAUGGAAGCUUCGCAAGCCCUCAAGAUACAUGAAGCUGUGGGCCCUCAGAAACAUCUGGCUCAGCAGAAAUGACUGCAGGGUCUGCCUCUGAAGCCCAGCGUUUCUACUCCAUUUGGGAUAUUCCACACAGGAAGAGAAUUGGAAAUGCUGGAGGCUCCCCACGUCAGGCCGUCCUCCAGGAGUGGCUAUCCAUCUCUAAGGGCUUUCCGGACUGCUGCCCAGCAACUUCAACAGGCACCUCUAAUCGACGACCUCUCCUGCCUCCGCUGGUGUAGGGACGCCAGGCUUCUGAACAGCACUGCUCUCCUCAUUUGCCUUCAAGCUGGCCUAUCUUUCCUGCUGGUGGUGGUGGGCAGAGGCAAGGGUGUGGUCAGCUUUGAAAGAGAUUCCAUUCUUGGAAUAAAGUGAUCUAGCAAACAAAGUCUUCAAAAAAAAAAUACAUGAGGGGAAAAACAAUAAGCUGAACAUGAGCAGAAAACACAUUUUCUUGCAUUUGUGGUCAUCUUCUAUGAAGCACAGUAAGAAUCUUUGGAAGCCAGUCUUCAGGGCAAAAGGAUGGAGGAUGCAGCAUCAUGAGUAUCCAGAGAGUCAGGAUGAAGUUGUUCUUGGGAACUGCAGAGACAAGCAGUUCUAUAUGGUUUCAACACAAAUGGGCUAGGAAGAACCCUGGCACCGUGAGCAAUAAUAGUGUCACUACCUUUUUCUAGAGGUGGGAGACAAAAACUUAGCCAGACACAUUCAACAGUAAGACUCAACAAAGAAUCUUCAUAUUCAUGGACAGAAACUAAAUCUGCCACAUUUCUAGUAAGGUUCUUUCUUGGUUAAUUAAAUGUAUUAAUCUCUUCCAAUUUCUAUGUGCUAUUUGUCCUCAUUCCCCAAAGAUUAUGGCUUAGCUCAGUGUCUGCAGGUGAUUGUUCUUCUCUUGUUGCAGGUAAAAUCAUCCACGAUGCCCUCCAAUAUCAUUCCCAAUCAGUUUCCUGUUUCCCCUUCUCUUGCAGAAGCUCUGGAAGCCCACAGAGAACAGAUGCAUAAACACCAUUUACCAGACACAGCUCAGCAAACCCUCUCUCUCUUCCUUCCAGCAGCUUGGUUGUCCUCAAGGAGUUCCUAAAUUUCAUACUUCUGAGGGUUAUAUGGGAUGGUGAGGGGUGGAGGAGAGUAGCACGGAUUGAAAAAUACAUUAAUGUUGGCUGGGCACAGUGGCUCACACCUGUAAUCCCAGCGCUUUGGGAGGCCGAGGCUGGUAGAUCACCUGAGGUCAGGAGUUUGAGACCAGCCUGGCCAACAUGGCGAAACCCCAUCUCUACUAAAAAUACAAAAUUUAGCUGGGUGUGAUGGCACAUGCUUGUAAUCCCAGCUACUCAGGAGGCUGAGGCAGGAGAAUCGCUUGAACCCAGGAAGCGGAGGUUGCAGUGAGCUGAGAUUGCAGCAUUGCACUCCAGCCUGGGCAACAAGAGAGAUGCUCCAUCUUAAAAAAAAAAAGAAAAAUACAUUAAAGUGUACCAAAAUAAAUAUAUGACAGCUUUUAAAUUAUUUUCCAUGGGAAAAAAACUUAUAAUUAGUGACAAUUACUUACUGAGGGCCUGCUGGGCUAGACAUUAUGGACAUUGUGAAAGAUAAAAAGUUCAAGACACAGACUCUGUUUUCAGGAUGUGUACGCUUUAAAUAUGAAGUUAACACAGGGCAGAAAAGUAGAUACACACAUGCACACACAUACCUAUACACACAUACCUACACACACACACACACACACACACACACACAAAUACUCCUCAGACCCAAAGGACGGAGACAUCACAAUGAACAAGAUGAACAAUUGGUAGGAUUUUAAAAGACUAUUUUCUUUUUCAGCAAGGAGGAUGGAGUGGGCAGGUAGGGGAUGGUAUUUAUUUCCCAAGCAAAUCAAUUAGAAAAAAUAUUUGUAUUUCAGUAAAUUUAUUUUUUUCAAUCUUCAGAUAUAAGAAGGCUUUUCCAUGAAAAACACUCUAUUUA